AAACGUUUACUGAGCGCCUUCAACUUGCCAGGCACUAAUUAGACUAGCGCAGAGAAACGGGGAUAAGUACUGAUGAGGGUCCCAGCCCUCAGCGAUCGGAUUUCAGAGGGGGAGAUAAAGGACUGCCCAGAAGGGUGGUGAGUGGAGUAGUUGAUAUAAACAACGAGGUGCGAUGAAAUACACAGGAGGGCUGCUAAUCACAUAUGGGGUGGGUGCCGAGGGCCCUUAAUUAAGGGAGGCUUCCUGGACGGGUGACACCCAAGCGGAGUCCUGACGACCCGCGUCAGAAGUAGUCAGGCGAGGAGGAGGGUAAAGGAAUCCACGUCCCAAGCAGAGAAGCAGCUUUCCCUACACAGCACAGGACACGGUCCGCGCACAGAAGCCGCAGGAGACGCAGGCACAGGGGCUGGGGAGAAUCCUUGCUGGGCCCUCGCCGUCCAUGCGCCGCCUCCCUCUGCCCGGUGUCUGGUGUCAGCCUCCUGCCUGGCAGAGGAACUCCAGCCCCUGCUCCCCGAAGCUCCUCCAGGCCUUCUGCUUCCCUGACUCGGAAUGGGCCCGCUGUCCAGUGGGUACAAGGCUGGUCUCCCCGCCCACUGGUGACGACGUAAAGAUCCAGCUCAGCCUGGUUUCCCCUGGUGAUGAUAUCUUGCGACUCGUCUUUCUCCAGGAAAACAGGGACCGCUCUCCGCCUACAGGUCUCUUCCACAGACCUAUCUUGUUUUCACCCCCUGUCUCUUUUGGUUCAGUCUUUUCGCUCAUACAAACAAGGAAGUCGCCCCUAGCCCAGCCGCGGCUCCUUAGCUGGAGGCGGGCCCGGGGGUGGAGUCAACCGCGGUGGCCACGCCUCCUGGGAAAGGGCAGGGCAUGCAAAUUCGAAAUGAAAGCCCGGAAACCCCGGAACUAGAACUGG
rnacentral:lncRNA from 1 species